GAUGAAGAACGCAGCGAAAUGCGAUAAGUAAUGUGAAUUGCAGAGUUCAGUGAAUCAUCGAAUCUUUGAACGCACAUUGCGCCCGCCAGUAUUCUGGCGGGCAUGCCUGUUCGAGCGUCAUUACAACCCUCAGGCCCCCGGGCCUGGCGUUGGGGAUCGGCGGAAGCCCCCUGUGGGCACACGCCGUCCCUCAAAUACAGUGGCGGUCCCGCCGCAGCUUCCAUUGCGUAGUAGCUAACACCUCGCAACUGGAGAGCGGCGCGGCCAUGCCGUAAAACACCCAACUUCUGAAUGUUGACCUCGAAUCAGGUAGGAAUACCCGCUGAACUUAAGCAUAUCAAUAAGCGGAGGA
rnacentral:misc_RNA from 1 species